rnacentral:lncRNA from 1 species
UAACUCCAUGGUCUUUCCCUCAUCUCAGAAACUCGACCUGGUUUUAGCACCUGGGGGUGGGGCAUACGCAGAGGGGGAUGAUCUGUGAGUUACGAGUGUCCUCUGUGGCUGCUGGUGGUGGCCAGAGUAGGUUGGAUCUCCAAAUACCCAGCAGCGAAGUAUGAAGUAUGUGUCCUGCUUUCCUGGAACUUUCCUUUAACUGGCAUUUAAAUGUAGUUCACAGAACGAAUGCGUAGGAAACAAAGACAAUAUUUCACACCUUUAGUGUCAUUUCAACUACAGAACGGUGCUCCUAACACAGUGUAAGAGGACAAGCUGAAAAGCACAGCCUCUUCUAUUUCUCGGAAUCCCCGGCAGCUCCUGGAGAUUCCAGCUCCCACCCCAGGCAGAAGCCUGCAGACGCUCGCGGGCGCCACCACCCGGCGGAUGUGUUUGUUGCCGCUCUGCUCUUUGAUGGACAGAUGUGGGCGCUCACUGUGACCCUGUGGUCUGCCUUCCAGAAGCAGAGUUGCAUAACCGACCGUCAUCCAGUUACCCUUCGCAGUACCUGAGAGUCUUUCGGCUGUGAGGUAAGAAAUCCAACGUGAACCGGUUUUGGUCCAAAAUAUGAACAUGUUUGCUUUUGUAACUGGGAAAUCCAGCCAUGGAGCUGGACUCCCAAAAGCCAAGUGGCCCAACGAUGUGUGGCAGAGCAAAGUGGGGCAU